ACCUGUUCCCGCGGCCCGACGUGGCCCGCGGGGCGACGGACACACACUGUGCCUGGGAAGAACUGGGCACUUCAGGGCGUU
rfam:Streptomyces sp. IB2014 011-1 STIB_12, whole genome shotgun sequence.